UGCUAAAGGCGAGCCCUGGUUUUGGUCUCUCCUCUGUGGACUCAGAUGAUCCGAUGCAGUCCCAGAUUGUCUGUAGGAUCCACCCACACCAUUGCUGACUGGAAUACAACCACAACCAGUUGCAAGUCGCCUGUAUCGUUUCCCAAGAGGCUCAUGCAUGUCGAUGGAUUUUAAGAAGUAUUACACCAACGUCAUCAAAUACAACUAACAUCUGAGUUGUAUCGAACAUGUCGGGGGAGGGUACAGUCACGUGCUCCGGACGUUUCUCUAAUCUAUACACAUAUGGAGUGGACGCCAAACAUGUGGGUGGAGGUUGAAGGUCCGUCGCAGCAGCUGGCUGCGGAUGGUGCUAAUGAUGUUAAUAACGCUGAUCAAGUGGCGCCAAUCUUCAUUAAAAUCUGCGCCCUCGUUUACAGGCGUCUCUCGACGGGACGUCAGUCGUGAGUAUCGAUUCACCAGGAUAAGCGACCAUCAUCUUCCUCCCUCAGCCUCUUAUCUUCACGAAGCUCUGGUCGCUCAACAAAGCGAGGCAGAGGCAGACCACUGUUUCGGUCAUUCACGCAAGAACACUGUUGUAGAGUGGUAUGAGAAGUAGAAAACCCCAAUUUAUUUUGGGAAGUAAAGGAGAUUCCUACUCAUUCCUUCCUUCCCUAACCCUAAUCUCCUUAUAGAAGUCUACACUUGCUUUCAACAAAGACUUUGUUAUUGUGUUCUUAAACAGUUUAUGCAUGUUAUUGGGGGGAUGGGGAAGUCAUGACAAGUUUAAUCAUUUUUGGUUAUGCUUACUGUCAUUGAAAAGUUAUAUUUUUUCAUGGUACAAUGUUUCAUCUGGAAAUAUCUGUUUAAUUGAAUGGGUUCGUUCAAUUUAAAGGGGGAGGAAUGUUGUAGAGUGGUAUACUGACUUCUGACCACUAGAGGCAGUAGUGCUAUUGCUCUCUACAAGAAGCUACCGCUUAUUAUCCUGUGGCUGAGCACACCUGUUGAUGUAGGAAUGCUAUGCUGUGAGUGCUAGGUUCCUUGGUGGACAAUAAACAUGCGAAGAGUAA